rnacentral:tRNA from 1 species
GCUGGUAUAGUUCAAUGGAAGAACAAUUGACUUGUAAUCAAUAUGUUGUCGGUUCAAGUCCGGCUAUCAGCU